rnacentral:rRNA from 1 species
UGUGUAGGCGGUUGGUUAAGUUUGGUGUGAAAUCUCCUGGCUCAACUGGGAGGGUGCGCCGAAUACUGAGUGACUAGAGUGCGGGAGAGGAAAGUGGAAUUCCUGGUGUAGCGGUGAAAUGCGUAGAUAUCAGGAGGAACACCGGUGGUGUAGACGGCUUUCUGGACCGUAACUGACGCUGAAACACGAAAGCGUGGGUAGCAAACAGGAUUAGAUACCCUGGUAGUCCACGCCCUAAACGAUGCAUAUUUGGUGUGGGCAGUUCAUUCUGUCCGUGCCGGAGCUAACGCGUUAAAUAUGCCGCCUGGGGAGUACAGUCGCAAGGCUGAA